GAUCCUUGAUCAAGUAUAAAAUCUUACAUUAUCAUUUCCAUUUUUUUAAUAUGAGGAAACACUCUUGGAGAGUUUAAGUGACAAAGCUAGAAAAAGAUCUAAUUGAUUCUCUAAGCAUAGGUUUUCUGUCCCCAAGUCACAGAAUCAUAGGACCUAGCAUUAAUAAUGACCUCAGAGAUCCUGUGGGCCAACCCACUUACUUUAUGAGGAAAUAAUAGAGAAAGUAGUCAACUUAGAUCAGAUGGAUGGGAAGGGGUGUUUUAGUCCGGAAAGUCACAGAGAUGGUAAAUGGAGCCAUAGGACAAUGGAUUGAGAAUCGAUAGGCUUGUUUUGAUUACUAUUCCCAGAGAAAGGAAAAGGAAGGUGAAUGGCUUGUGGGACCAUUGAUGGCAAGAAGAGUGCCAGGGUUCCUCAUGAUUUGACUAUGAAGAUAGUUUGGUCAUUUGGUGAGUUUGAAGGAUAACAGAUGGCCAGCUCAUGAACUCCCCUGGUAUCCUUUCCUUGGAGGACUGAUGAGAAGGCAUGGACCAGAAUUGUAAGAAUGUUCAUAUAUGAACUGGGAUCUAUAUCCUUAAAGGUUCUGCCUACUUCAAGAGUUCCCAGAGAGGCUCUUUGGCUGGGGGAGGAAUGGACCAGGACAGAAGAGAGCGGGAAUAUAAGGUUUGGAGAUGGGUGGAAAAGAGUUAAAUCCAUCCAUUUGGCGAAAUUGGGAUUAGAAGAUGGAGACAAUCAAGGCAGGCAGAGGGUCUGGCCACUACUGAUGUAAUAUUGGUCUGAAAAGGCCAACAAGGAUGGAAAGCUCUUUUUGAAUACAUUUUUUUUCCUACUUCUCCAGGGCACCUGACUCCCUAAUAAAAUUAAAGAAUUUUA